rnacentral:tRNA from 1 species
GUCCCCAUAGUUCAAGUGGAUAGAACGGGUCCCUCCUAAGGAUCAGAUUCAGGUUCGAAUCCUGGUGGGGAUA